GCCUUCGUGGUGUAGUGGUCAGCAUGCUGGGCUCUAAUACAGAGGUCCAUGGUUCGAGUCCCGGCGAAGGCG
rnacentral:tRNA from 1 species